AUUAUUUAAAAGAGCAUUAUGUGCCUUUUUCAUUCUCUACUGUGGUGACAGUUUUCAAAUAUAAAAAUGCUGCCAAGAGAACUCAAACAAUAACCUGUGCUGUGAGUGGGCAGUAGUAGUUAGCAUCAACUGAGCAAAAGGCUUUAAGCCAUUAGGAAAACUGUGUUCCAGGUCUCCCUUAGAGACCUGCUUUUAGAGAUGGCCUUAGCAAGGCUGGUGUUUCCCGCUGGAGACUGUGGUUUGUCAGCAGUGACAGAGCUGUUUUUGUUUUUGUCCUGGGACAGAACAUCUAGACAGGAUCUCUUCAGGCUACUACCAGGUGACUUUUUUCUACAAAUCUGCACCUGUACAUGAAAUUUUGUGUCCAAGUUCAGGUUUUUCCCUCUUUAAAUGAACCAAGGUGACUGGAGUGCUUUGGUACAGGCACACAAUGGUAGAAGUCAGUUUAUAGGUACCCGGCUUGGGGCAAGUGCCAAUUGCCCCUUUUAAGCUUGGCGACGAAUAUACAAAUGAACUAGAGAAGUGAAAAGUUAAGCUCUGUGCUACAUUUCUCUUUGGCCUAAAAACAAAAAAAGAAAAAAAUGUAAAUGCAGAAAAACAGUAAACUGAUGAAGAACGGUAGAACCCAAGGAAUUUCUUUAGUGUCGUGUGUUAGCAGUACUCAGGCAUUUUAGUCAUAUUGCUGUGUGCAGUUAUUUGUAUGGAUUUGUUAUUUUUUCAAGUUUUACAUGGCAGCAUCAUCAGCAAUUCAGCAAUUGUGAUGGGCAGGUAGCUUACUGUUGCUGUGACAGUUGUGCGGAAGUAGAACUUGCUCACAGGAAAAUGUUCAAGAGCAUGCUAAUCUGUUAUUAGUUGCUCUGUUGAGAUCAGAGUUGGUGAUCUCAGGUACUUAUGGAUUGCUUUUAUCUGUGCUGCCGUUAAAGUUCUGCUUUUACUGUUUUCAGUUCAAGCUGAGCAGAAAAGUCCUUGAAUGAUGAUUUGCGCUGCCGCUCUGACUGAAAACAGGAGCUCACUAUGGAAAAAAAUCUGUCAUUGUGCCUGUUCACAAUAGUGAAUGCUGGUUAGAUGAGUGCUUGAAGUCUGUCCGGGAACAAGAUUUUAAACAAACCAUGGAGCUGUCAGUUUUUAAUGAUGCCAGCAAGGACAGUUCAGCUGAAAUCAUUGCAAAAUGGAAGAUCAAGUUGGAAGGUGCUGGUGUUCCAGUAAUCAUCGGUAGCAAUAAUUCGUCUCAGCCUCGAGGAGUUGGAUUUGCUAAAAAUCAAGCAGUAAUACAGAGUUCGGGAGCCUAUCUCUGCUUUCUGGAUUCAGAUGAUGUGAUGAUGCCACAGCGGGUUAGACUGCAGUACGAAGCUGCCAUUCAACACCCAAACAGUAUUAUUGGUUGCCAAGUCAGAAGAGAGCCACCAAUGUCUACCGAACGGUACACUCGUUGGAUCAAUAAUCUGACUGAAGAACAGCUUCUUACACAGGUGUUUACCUCCCAUGGACCUACUGUGAUCAUGCCAACCUGGUUCUGUUCUCGAGAAUGGUUUUAUCACGUGGGAAAAUUUGAUGAGGGUGGAAAAGGUGUUCCAGAAGAUUUGUUAUUUUUUUACAAACACAUCCAAAAGGGUGGUCAAGUUGUUCGAGUAAACCAUUGCCUUCUGCUGUACCGUUACCAUCCACAGGCUGCAACUCAUUCUGUCCUAGAGGAAACCAUCUGGAAUCACCGAGUCAGGUUUCUUGAAGACAGAGUCCUGAGUUCCUGGACAUCUUUCACCAUUUGGAAUGCUGGCAAGCAAGGCAAGAAGCUCUACAGAAGCUUGUCACCAGCUAAUCGGAAAAAGGUAACUGCAUUUUGUGAUGUUGAUGAAAAGAAAAUAACAAGAGGAUUCUAUACUUUUGAAGAAUCUGAGGAGAGACCAAAACCAAAAAUUCCAAUAUGUCACUUCAGAGAAGCAACUCCACCUUUCAUUAUCUGUGUGAAGCUGGAUUUGACAGGCGGAGCAUUCGAAACAAACUUGAAUAUGCUGAACUUGAAGGAAGGGGUGGAUUAUUAUCAUUUUAACUAAAAACUAAGUGUACUUCGCAGCUCAUGCUGAGAAUCCAGUUUGUCAAGAUGCCGCAGCACAAACUCUUUCAGUCCUAAGGGCACCUGACCCAAGAGCUUCAGUUUGCAAAGCAGCAGUCGGUGCCUGCAACGUUAUUGUGCUGAACUCUACAAGGGAGAAAGAAGAAAGAGGUCACGUGGAGUAGCAUGUAUUUUACCAGCACAAUAUGUAAUUAAGUAAACUAAAUGGAGAAGAAAAUGUAGAAAUGUAAAGUUAAAUUUUUUACACUCCUUUUUAACCACCUUACAUUUUUAAUCAUCCAUCAGAUACGUGAGCUCUCGAAGAAGAGCAGAGUGUUACGUACACUUGGUUGGGCACUAAGUGGCUGCUAGUAGGGACACUGGAGAGCUGUGAGAAGUCCUUCAAGUUCAGUAAAUAUUGCUCUGAGUAAACUCCAACAGUUCAGAGGACAGGUUGUGUGCAAUAGUGUGAGGCUGUACAUAUUCUUCAAGUACUGAGGCUUUAUUGCAGGUAAAUGAGCAUUUGCUUGCUAGAUUGAGUAUGUGCUGCUAAAGAAACUCUGAAAUCUGCUCUAAGAAUGCUAUUUAUAUUCUGCCUGCAGUUUUUCUUAUAAGGAAAUUCCCUCUUUUCCCAUUGCUGGGGUAAUCUCGUAAAGGAGAAAGGAGUUUGUCCUCUUGAAUUUCAUCACCUACAACUGAAAUAUUUCCUGCAGUUAUCCAUAAUUGUUUAAGAGAGGAACAUGGAACUUUCCUUCAGUGUUACCUUGCUAACUGAGCCUCAUCUUUGAACUUCUCCCAGAAUGGAACAUCUUCCAGACUCCUAUCAAAGCAGAACAUUCUGUACUUCUUGAAGCACUGAGCAGAUGGGCAGUUCCAAACCAUCUGCAUUGAAAUGAAGAAGGAUCUACACAGCCCUAUCAUCUUUCCUGUUUUGAACAUGUUAACUCUAGAACACAUUCUCCCUCUUAUGCAGAGUUAGAAUUGUGAGACUUGCACAUUUUGUGUUAUAAUUCUGCUGUUUAAAUUGACUGGGAAGCUUUUAACCUUUUUUCUUUCUCCAGAAAGAGCAGACAGUUUUUGAAACAUCUGUGCUGCAUUAUUUCAUUCUUCAACUUUGAGUAAGAUGUCACACUACAAGUCCUGAAUGCUUUCAAGAAAUGAAACUGGAAUGGCUUAAGAGAACCGUCUUCAGCAAUUCCAUAUAUUCUGUAGUUAGCUGCGAGGACAUUGCUAGGUGUGCAUUUUAUAUAUUCAUGAACCUGUGAAGAACUGCAUCUGUUGCAUGGAAGAUACACCCUGUAUUAGCAGAACAACUGAUCAUUACAAAGAAAAAAGCUCAGGAGCACCUUUCCAUACUUUACCUUGGAUACUAGCUGUGGUUUGGGCACUUUCAUGAGAUCACAGAGGUGGUUACGUUUCUCUCUUACUGCUGUUAGUUCAGCUUCCCUGCGUGAGGAAAUGCCUUCCCGUUAAUUCAAAAACAAAAGCAUGACGUUGGCUGCAUACACACAACUGCUUAAGCUACCGGUUCGCUAUUAUUUUGCUAUGCAGGUGUUUAUUCUUUCACGUACAUUUCAAACUAGAAGUUCUGGUUGUGUUGCUAUUUUAAGAAUAAUGUAGCCUUUUCACAGCAUUUGAAGCCAGAUAUACCAUAAAGACACAACAGGUCUCCGAGAAGUGACAGUUACUAGUAAAAACUGGUAAGACUAUUCUUUUAUAUAUAUUUAAAAAAAAAAAAAAAAAACACCAUUUUUAAUAGAAGCUUCUUGAUUAUAAGUUCACAAACUUGUUCUCUGAAUUUAUAGCUUCUUUUUUGAUUUAGAAAAUAUCACAUCAAGAAUUUAACUAAAUGCCACUGGCUUUGGAAAACAUUCUGCUAUCUAGGAAAGCUUUCUCUUGAAGUAGAAAGGAUCAGACCGAAUGCUAGUGGGUGUUUAAAAGUUAUUGAACGUGGUGUCUACAAGACAAAUUCCUAAACAGCAGCCAGUUACAAAAAGCUCCAAAAUGAUGAAAACCCAAACACACUUCUCGUCCAUGUUGCAAGUAUCUAUCGCUAACUGGAAUGCUGUGAUCAUGCUAAUAUUGCUCACUAAUUCAGUAGAUUUGUUUUUCUUAAGUAGUGAGUGUAAAUGAGCUAUUAAAAUUGACUCUUAGCACAUAAACUGAUUCCAAAACUAUGGAGAAAAAGCAUAAAGUACAAAUUAAUUAAAAAUAACCUUGAAUAUACAUAUAUUUCUAUUUGGACACCUGGGACAAUUUAAUCACCUAGGUUGGAAAAGAUCUUCAAGAUCAUCAAGCCCAACCAUCAAUCUGACCUACCAACUCCCACCACUAAAUCAUGUCAUUUGUCACAUUUCAUUUUGGAAACCUUCCUAUAGCUAAACUGAAAUUAUUUAAUUUCUUUAAACUUUGAAUUACACAAUCAUAUGCUAAACGCUUCGUAGUUCCAACAAAAAGAAUGUUUCAAAUAUGCGUAUUCCAGAAAUGACUGCCUUCCCCAAAUAUCUAAUGCUCGUUGAGCUUCCUGAUGUUAAUGCUUAUUUUAAUUCUGAAAUUACCGUGAUUGCUUUAGCGCUGAGAGCACUUGAAAAUAAUAAGCAGCUCUCUGUGUCACUCAGCAAUGACUUCAAAUACCUUCUUUUGUAAACAAUUCAAAUCUAGUAUGAUAAAACAAGAUUUAAGUAAACUGGCACUUCACCUUUAAUCUCAGUGCAAUGGAUAUGUUGCAACUGGGAACUUAGAGCAAGCCCUGAACUAAAAGAGAAUGAAACAAGCAAGGGAAUAAAACAGGCAGCCAGUCACACCUUAAAAAUUACAAUGUGAAAAGAGAGUAUGUAUUUUGGUCUGAAAUGGCUUAUAGGAAGAAAAUUGCCUUGUUUUUGUGAGUAACUCAUAUAUGAGUAGAGCACACCUACUCUGUCGCAAUUUGGUGUGUUCCACUUCUAAUUUUGGUAUUGUAAACAUCCCUUUGUGACAGCAGCAACCUAAUCCUCCUCAGUUAUUUCUGUUAAUUUUUUUUUCUUCUGUAGAAAAAAAACUUUUAACUUCUGAGCAAGCCUGCUCUUAGUUCAGAUUCCACAAGCAAGCACGGAAUCACGCUGGGCAGAACACUAACCAUCAAUGCACACUUAAGCAAGUAAGCAGAAUUGUGAAUAACUAGUUCUUUCAAUUCUGAGGCUGUUUUUCUAAUUUUGUGCUGAAAAAAAUCAGAAAAAUGUGAAGCAGGCACCCCUUACAAUGACAAACCUUAAUUUUGUUUCCCAAAUAUGAAGUUAUUAAAGCUCAAACACUGAAAUAAACUGGAAAUUAAAGUUAAAUAAUGUAAGCAUGCAGUCUGAAAAUGUGUAAACCACAACAUUACAGUAUACUUGUUCCUUGAACACGUCUCAGUUAAUUUCCAUGAAAUGUCAAUGAAGGAAAAAGCCAUUUAACAUAACGAUUAGUAGGAUAUAUAUUUUUGAUAUCUGGCUAUUCUUAGACACACUUUCUCAUGUAUUAACCUUGACUGCUGUAUGAGACUGGGUGUUGGGCUAGCGGACCCAUGACCCAGACACCUGUAAUAAGGGAAAAUGUUUAAAAAAUAUUUAAAAUGGAAGCUAAACUAAUUAUCUUAAAGCUCAGUUAUUUUCCUCAAACGUCCAGGGCAUGCGGUCUUACACGAACACUUCCAGUGACUGCAGAAAACAAGCAAGCAAACAAAGAAGUCAAAAGUAGGCCUCCUCCUGUCACCUUAUGGAUCUAUUCAUUUAGUUUCUUUGACGUAAGAAGUCUGCUAAAAAACAAAACAAAACUCAGUGUCAGCACUCCAGAGGUGCUGGCAGAAUGAGCUCCUGACAGUGAAGGAGAACCUUGCUGCUUUGUUGAAUUCUGCUCAGGAAGAAUGGGAUUCUUUCUCCUCGCCCUUGUAAGAAGCUAAUAUUACAGGUACCAGCAGGUAAAUAAAUAAGCAAAUAAAUUAUAUUAUA